GACGAACGCUGGCGGCGUGCUUAACACAUGCAAGUCGAACGGAAAGGCCCUGCUUUUGUGGGGUGCUAGAGUGGCGAACGGGUGAGUAACACGUGAGUAACCUGCCCUUGACUUUGGGAUAACUUCAGGAAACUGGGGCUAAUACCGGAUAGGAGCUCCUGCUGCAUGGUGGGGGUUGGAAAGUUUCGGCGGUUGGGGAUGGACUCGCGGCUUAUCAGCUUGUUGGUGGGGUUGUGGCUUACCAAGACUUUGACGGGUACCCGGCCUGAGAGGGUGACCGGCCACAUGGGGACUGAGAUACGGCCCAGACUCCUACGGGAGGCAGCAGUGGGGAAUAUUGCACAAUGGGCGGAAGCCUGAUGCAGCAACGCCGCGUGCGGGAUGACGGCCUUCGGGUUGUAAACCGCUUUCGCCUGUGACGAAGCGUGAGUGACGGUAAUGGGUAAAGAAGCACCGGCUAACUACGUG
rnacentral:rRNA from 1 species